GCGGGGUUAGCUCAGUUGGUUAGAGCAUGGUGCUAAUAACGCUAAGGUCACAUGUUCAAUCCCUGCUAACUGCA
rfam:Pelecanus crispus contig17514, whole genome shotgun sequence.